CCUACGGGGGACUGCAGUCGAGAAUCAUUCACAAUGGGGGAAACCCUGAUGGUGCGACGCCGCGUGGGGGAAUGAAGGUCUUCGGAUUGUAAACCCCUGUCAUGUGGGAGCAAAUUAAAAAGAUAGUACCACAAGAGGAAGAGACGGCUAACUCUGUGCCAGCAGCCGCGGUAAUACAGAGGUCUCAAGCGUUGUUCGGAAUAACUGGGCGUAAGGCGUGCGUAGGCGGUUUCGUAAGUCGUGUGUGAAAGGCGCGGGCUCAACCCGCGGACGGCACAUGAUACUGCGAGACUAGAGUAAUGGAGGGGGAACCGGAAUUCCCGGUGUAGCAGUGAAAUGCGUAGAUAUCGAGAGGAACACUCGUGGCGAAGGCGGGUUCCUGGACAGUAACUGACGCUGAGGCACGAAGGCCAGGGGAGCGAAAGGGAUUAGAUACCCUAGUAGUC
rnacentral:rRNA from 1 species